AAGUUUUAAUAUGGUGAAACUGCGAAUGGCUCAUUAAAGCAGUGAAAGUUUAUUUGAUGGCCCCUCUUACAUGGAUAACGGUGGGAAUACUAGAGCUAAUACAUGCACCAAAACCCGACUUCGGAAGGGUUGUGUUUAUUACAUACAGAACCAUCCCAUGCUCCGCAGGGCUUGGUGGUGACUCAUAAUAACUCAGAUGAAUCGGAUGGCUUGCGCAGACGAUGCAUCACUUCAAGUUUCUGACCUACCGCCUUCCGACGGUAGGGUAUAGGCCUACCGAGGCAACGACGGGUAACGGAGAAUAAGGGUUGGAUCCGGGAGAGGGAGCCUGAGAAACGGCUACCACAUC
rnacentral:rRNA from 1 species